rnacentral:snoRNA from 1 species
GCGCAGAUCUUCCAGCGAGGCUCGGUCUGUCGUGUCCGCGCGCUCUCCUGAUGUUCUGCCAGAGAGACUGGGGGGAGUUUGAGGCCCCGCUGUGGCUCCCCGCGGCCGGGCUUUAGGUGAACCCCCAACAAAU